AGUGAACGCUGGCGGUAGGCCUAACACAUGCGAGUCGAACGGCAGCACAGUAAGAGCUUGCUCUUACGGGUGGCGAGUGGCGGACGGGUGAGGAAUACAUCGGAAUCUACUUUUUCGUGGGGGAUAACGUAGGGAAACUUACGCUAAUACCGCAUACGACCUACGGGUGAAAGCAGGGGAUCUUCGGACCUUGCGCGAUUGAAUGAGCCGAUGUCGGAUUAGCUAGUUGGCGGGGUAAAGGCCCACCAAGGCGACGAUCCGUAGCUGGUCUGAGAGGAUGAUCAGCCACACUGGAACUGAGACACGGUCCAGACUCCUACGGGAGGCAGCAGUGGGGAAUAUUGGACAAUGGGCGCAAGCCUGAUCCAGCCAUACCGCGUGGGUGAAGAAGGCCUUCGGGUUGUAAAGCCCUUUUGUUGGGAAAGAAAAGCAGCAGGUUAAUACCCAGCUGUUCUGACGGUACCCAAAGAAUAAGCACCGGCUAACUUCGUG
rnacentral:rRNA from 1 species